rnacentral:rRNA from 1 species
GAUGAACGCUGGCGGCGUGCUUAACACAUGCAAGUCGAACGGAAAGGCCCUGCUUUUGUGGGGUGCUCGAGUGGCGAACGGGUGAGUAACACGUGAGUAUAAUGCCCUUGACUUUGGGAUAACUUCUGGAAAAUGGGGCUAAAACCGGAUAGGAGCUCCUGAUGCAUGGUGGGGGUUGGAAAGUUUCGGCGGUUGGGGCUGGACUCGCGGGUUAUCAGCUUGUUGGUGGGGUAGUGGCUUACAAAGGCUUUGACGGGUAGCCGGCCUGAGAGGGUGACCGGGCACAAUGCGACUGAGGUACGGCCCAGACUCCUACGGGAGGCAGCAGUGGGGAACAUUGCAGAAUGGGCGGAAGCGUGAGACAGCAACGCCGCGUGCGGGAUGACGUCCUUCGAGUUGUAAACCGCUGUGGCCGGUGACGAAGAGUGAUUGACGGUAAUUGGUAAAGAAGCACCGGCUAACUACGUG